GCCGUAGAGGCAAGCUCAGAGGAGCUGCCUUCAGUUCCAGAACCUCCCCAGGAGCCAGCAGCUUCCACAGAAAGCAAAACUGAUGGCUGGGCAGCCAAAGAGGAGGAGGAGGAGGAGGAAGCUGCGAGUGAGGCAGCUCCAGCUGGAUGCAGUGAGCAGGAGGAGGAGGAAGAGGAGGAGGAGGAUCCACCAGCAGCUGCUGAGCCGCAGCAAGAAUAACUCUGUGAAUGUUUGUGUGAAGGUUGAAGACUGCAGGAAGCUGUACAUUCCCUGAGAAACACUUGAGCUGCCUCACCACCUUUUUGAAUUUUAGAAUUGAAAAGCUGGGUUUGCAAAAUAAAGCCGUGAUUAGAGCCUGACAGCUGUUUGGUUUUUAAACACAGCAAUAAAGCUGUAUGAUUUCUUGUGUGACA